CAAAGAUGGAACAGAGGGCCACCUGAUUCUUGACAGCAGCAUGAUAAGGAGAUGGCUGUGGAAAACACACCCUCUUUAGCACUGGUGCCAGGGAAACAUAUCUGUACAAAGAAGGCUGAACCUUGAUCUACCUGACAGCUGGAGAAGAGAAAUUAAGACACGAUUUAAUACAUGACUUAUAACUACCAGGGGAAAUGAUGCUUCACUAUAGAAGCAUACAGAACACUUUCCUAAACAGGGUUCUUGUAGAAAAUAACAGUGGACAAAGCAACUGAAACUGUUACCAGCACAGAGAGACCACCUGCGGAAAAGGAGACCAUUGUUGCUAGCUAUUUGUCUCACAGGGCAGUGAUAUCCAGAAUGUAUAAAGAGUCAUCUUAAAAAGCACACAGACACAGUAAAUGGACAAGUUAACUGGACAGACGAGCUUCUAAAGAUGUACAAAUUUGGCCAAUCAAUGCAUGAAAAACCUUCAACAUUUUCAGUUGUCAAGAUGAUGCUGGUCAAAGCUGCAUCGCAGGGAGUGGAGAUGGCUCGACUACACAGUGUAGGACGUUUCCAUACAGUGAUGCUUUAUUCUGCCACUAUGAGGAAAAAAAGUCACAUAAUCAGCAGAAAAUGGAUGAAACAGAAGAUCACUGGCUGUACCACCGCAUAGACUGAGGUCCCAGGCUGAACAAAGAUACAAAGAGGAGGCAAAGACAACCGUUCAUCUCUCUCUACUUCCUGACAAUGGACAAAGUGCGACCAGUUGUAUCCACCCUCGUUCUAAUGCCUUUCCUGCUAGGAUGGAUUAUAUCCCAUAAACCAGAGUCAAAUUGAUCCUUCCUUUGAUCACGCAAAGGAGUCUACCACCCACAGGUGCAUCUUGGGAGCUCUGUGGGAAUGGAGGAAGGCUUUCAGGAUGCCCUGGCCAGAUGCUGGGAUGUGGGGAAUGGAGUGUUCUGCCUGCACACCAGAGGAGGGCACUGGAUCUCACUGAUGGUUAUGGCCCACCAUGUCAUUGCUGGAAACUGAAGGCAGGACCUUUGGGAGAACAGCCAGCCAGCGCUCUCAAUCUCCAAGCUGUCUCUGCAGCUCAGAAGCUGUUGACUUUUAAUUAGUGCUUUAUUUAUUCUUUAGGCAUUGCACACAUGUAUGCACUACACUCUGAUCACAGCCAGCUCCCCUUCCCUGAGGGCUCCCCACAUGCUGCCCCCCAGCUUCCUGUGCUCUUUCAUGUCUUCUUUUUAAAUGAUCCACUGAGUCCGACGACUGCUGCUUGUCCACGUGGGUGUGGGCCCGUCCACUGGAAGUCGGGAGACACACCUGAGGAGAAGUUCCUUUUCCUUCCUCAGCAGCAGCUCACUGACAACAGCUCCUUGGCUGUGAGGCCUUGUGAGUCCCUCCUCCAUGUAUAUGGGAAUUUUUAUACUUUUAUUAAAAUUAUCCAUAUACUAGAUUCUGAUUACUGUUUCCCAUACCUUGUCUUCUCAGAAUCUUCCCCUCCCCCCGCCCAUCC